CAAAUCGCUUCUGUCUAGAGUGU
rnacentral:miRNA from 1 species